UACGAAGGGGGCUAGCGUUGCUCGGAAUGACUGGGCGUAAAGGGCGCGUAGGCGGAUCGCUUUGUCGGGCGUGAAAUUCCAGGGCUUAACCUUGGGGCUGCGUUCGAGACGGGUGAUCUUGAGUUCGGAAGAGGGUCGUGGAAUUCCCAGUGUAGAGGUGAAAUUCGUAGAUAUUGGGAAGAACACCGGUGGCGAAGGCGGCGACCUGGUCCGAGACUGACGCUGAGGCGCGAAAGCGUGGGGAGCAAACAGG
rnacentral:rRNA from 1 species